UUCGCCCUUAAGAGUUUGAUCUUGCCUCAGGACGAACGCUGGCGGCGUGCCUAAUACAUGCAAGUCGAGCGGAGAUACUNNGGAAGGAUUUAUCUGGAAAAGCAAUUUUAGCGGCGGACGGGUGAGUAACGCGUGAGCAAUCUGGCCUUUACAGGGGGAUAACACAGGGAAACUUGUACUAAUACCGCAUAUUAUUAUUUAAUCGCAUGAUUGAGUGAUGAAAGUGGAAACACGGUAAAGGGGGAGCUCGCGUUCUAUUAGAUAGUUGGUGGGGUAACGGCCUACCAAGUCAACGAUAGAUAGCCGACCUGAGAGGGUGAUCGGCCACACUGGAACUGAGACACGGUCCAGACUUCUACGGAAGGCAGCAGUAGGGAAUAUUGGGCAAUGGGCGAAAGCCUGACCCAGCAACGCCGCGUGAGGGAAGAAGGUUUUCGGAUUGUAAACCUCUGUCCUUGGUGAAGAGCAGAAGACGGUAGCCAAGGAGGAAGCCCCGGCUAACUACGUGCCAGCAGCCGCGGUAAUACGUAGGGGGCGAGCGUUGUCCGGAAUGAUUGGGCGUAAAGGGCGCGUAGGCGGCUUUACAAGUCUGGAGUGAAAGUCCUAUUUUCAAGGUAGGAAUUGCUUUGGAAACUGUAGAGCUUGAGUGCAGGAGAGGUUAUCGGAAUUCCCGGUGUAGCGGUGAAAUGCGUAGAGAUCGGGAGGAACACCAGUGGCGAAGGCGGGUAACUGGACUGCAACUGACGCUGAGGCGCGAAAGUGUGGGAAGCAAACAGGAUUAGAUACCCUGGUAGUCCACACUGUAAACGAUGAAUGCUAGGUGUAGGAGGUAUCGACCCCUUCUGUGCCGUAGUCAACACACUA
rnacentral:rRNA from 1 species